GGAGGCGCUCAAAGGUUCCCUCAGAAUGGUUGGAAAUCAUUCAUAGAGUGUAAAGGCAUAAGGGAGCUUGACUGCGAGACCUACAAGUCGAGCAGGGUCGAAAGACGGACUUAGUGAUCCGGUGGUUCCGCAUGGAAGGGCCAUCGCUCAACGGAUAAAAGCUACCCCGGGGAUAACAGGCUUAUCUCCCCCAAGAGUUCACAUCGACGGGGAGGUUUGGCACCUCGAUGUCGGCUCAUCGCAUCCUGGGGCUGUAGUCGGUCCCAAGGGUUGGGCUGUUCGCCCAUUAAAGCGGUACGCGAGCUGGGUUCAGAACGUCGUGAGACAGUUCGGUCCCUAUCCGUCGUGGGCGUAGGAAAUUUGAGAGGAGCUGUCCUUAGUACGAGAGGACCGGGAUGGACAUACCUCUGGUGUACCAGUUGUCGUGCCAACGGCAUAGCUGGGUAGCUAUGUGUGGACGGGAUAAGUGCUGAAAGCAUCUAAGCAUGAAGCCCCCCUCAAGAUGAGAUUUCCCAACUUCGGUUAUAAGAUCCCUCAAAGAUGAUGAGGUUAAUAGGUUCGAGGUGGAAGCAUGGUGACAUGUGGAGCUGACGAAUACUAAUCGAUCGAAGACUUAAUCAA
rnacentral:rRNA from 1 species